GACGAACGCUGGCGGCGUGCUUAACACAUGCAAGUCGAACGAUGUGGCGAACGGGUGAGUAACGCGUAAUCAUCCUGCCCUUCAGUGGGGGACAACAGUUGGAAAUGACUGCUAAUACCGCAUACUGAAGGUGGGGAUUGCGUCUGCUUAGCUAGUUGGAGGGGUAACGGCCCACCAAGGCGAUGAUCAGUCGCCGGUCUGAGAGGAUGAACGGCCACAUUGGGACUGAGACACGGCCCAGACUCCUACGGGAGGCAGCAGUGGGGAAUCUUCCGAAAUGGACGAAAGUCUGACGGAGCAACGCCGCGUGAGUGAUGACGGCCUUCGGGUUGUAAAGCUCUGUUAAUCGGGACGCGGUACCGGAAUAGAAAGCCACGGCUAACUACGUGCCAGCAGCCGCGGUAAUAC
rnacentral:rRNA from 1 species